GACGAACGCUGGCGGCGUGCUUAACACAUGCAAGUCGAACGGUGAAGCGCCUUCCUUUCUGGUGGGUGUGGAUGAGCGGCGAACGGGUGAGUAACACGUGAGUAACCUUCCCCCUUCUUCUGGAUAACCGCAUGCAAGUGUUGCUAAUACGGGAUAUUCUGGGUCUGUCGCAUGAUGGGUCUGGGACAGAUAUUGUUUCGGUUGGGGAUGGGCUCGCGGCUUAUCAGCUUGUUGGUGGGGUGAUGGCCUACCAAGGCGGUGACGGGUAGCCGGCCUGAGAGGGUGGACGGUCACACUGGGACUGAGACACGGACCAGACUCCGACGGGAGGCAGCAGGGGGGAAUACUGCACAAUGGGCGCAAGGCUGAUGCAGCGACGCCGCGUGAGUGAUGGAGGCCUUCGGGUUGUGAACCUCUUUCGGCAGUGAAGCAGUCUUGACUCGUUUGUGGGUGGGUUGACGGUAGCUGGAUAAGAAGCGCCGGCUAACUACGUG
rnacentral:rRNA from 1 species